AUUGAACGCUGGCGGCAUGCCUUACACAUGCAAGUCGAACGGUAACGGGCCUUCGGGUGCCGACGAGUGGCGCACGGGUGUGUAAUACAUCGGAACGUGCCCGAUCGUGGGGGAUAACGCGGCGAAAGCUUUGCUAAUACCGCAUACGAUCUACGGAUGAAAGCAGGGGACCGCAAGGCCUUGCGCGGACGGAGCGGCCGAUGGCAGAUUAGGUAGUUGGUGGGAUAAAAGCUUACCAAGCCGACGAUCUGUAGCUGGUCUGAGAGGAUGAUCAGCCACACUGGAACUGAGACACGGCCCAGACUCCUACGGGAGGCAGCAGUGGGGAAUUUUGGACAAUGGGCGCAAGCCUGAUCCAGCCAUGCCGCGUGCAGGAUGAAGGCCUUCGGGUUGUAAACUGCUUUUGUACGGAACGAAAAGCCUUCUUUUAAUACAGGAGGGUCAUGACGGUACCGUAAGAAUAAGCACCGGCUAACUACGUG
rnacentral:rRNA from 1 species